rnacentral:rRNA from 1 species
CCGACCUGAGAGGGUGAUCGGCCACAUUGGAACUGAGAGACGGUCCAGACUCCUACGGGAGGCAGCAGUGGGGAAUAUUGCACAAUGGGCGAAAGCCUGACCCAGCAACGCCGCGUGAGGGAAGAAGGGUUUCGGCUCGUAAACCUCUGUCCUAUGGGACGAAGGAAGUGACGGUACCAUAGGAGGAAGCCCCGGCUAACUACGUGCCAGCAGCCGCGGUAAU